CCUACGGGAGGCUGCAGUGAGGAAUAUUGGUCAAUGGCCGUAAGGCUGAACCAGCCAAGCCGCGUGAAGGAAGAAGGAUCUAUGGUUUGUAAACCUCUUUUAUAGGGGAAUAAAGGUCUCCACGUGUGGAUGAUUGCAUGUACCCUAUGAAUAAGCAUCGGCUAACUCCGUGCCAGCAGCCGCGGUAAUACGGAGGAUGCGAGCGUUAUCCGGAUUUAUUGGGUUUAAAGGGUGCGUAGGUUGUUUCUUAAGUCAGCGGUGAAAGUUUGUGGCUCAACCCUAAGAGUGCCGUUGAAACUGGCAGACUUGAGUGUGGUAGAGGUAGGCGGAAUGCGUGGUGUAGCGGUGAAAUGCAUAGAUAUCACGCAGAACUCCGAUUGCGAAGGCAGCUUACUAGGCCAUAACUGACACUGAGGCACGAAAGCGUGGGGAUCAAACAGGAUUAGAUACCCGUGUAGUC
rnacentral:rRNA from 1 species